GGAAGACUCCAGAAUCCACUCUGGCUGGAAUCCGGUGGAUACAGCAGUGUUACAGAACAGUUCUCCACAGUCACUGUCCACAUGGGUCAGUGGGACCAAGCAGCACUCCGCUAAUGUGAGACUCUGACCAGCAACAUCCAGCAAGACCCAGACAGCGUUUUCUAUCUCCCAGCUGGUGUUUUUUUGUUUGUCUGUGACUGGAGAGUCAGAUUUUUGUUGAGGCUGGAGGAACAGCCUCACACUUGCAGAGGUUAAUACACGCUACUGAUCCCUGAUGGGAGAAUCAUCACCUCUGCCAACAAAGAAGCCUGGUGGAUGUUUGUUUACAGUCUGAUGAUGGGACAUCAUGCUCUGCAUCUUCAAUUCUUUUUGCAGGAUCAGAAAACAAAACCAGGAGGCGCGUAAAUGUUUCUUCUCCAAUUGGAUGAUGAUAAGACUGUGACACGGGAUGCCACCUUUAGUCUUGUGAUGAAGCAAAGCUCAGGAAGAAGUGUGAUUAAAUGGUACCCACAUGUGUGCUGCUGAGAAGGAUGUACAGGGGCACCUGCAGCCAAAUCCAAGCCUCCUCAGCAACUUCAAGUCUGUCAACGUGCUGAGGUCACAGAAACAAGAAAAGCAGCUUCAGACUUCAGAGUGUUGUUUACAGUUUUCUGUCAUCAUGAUCUCCCCUGAAGUUUAUCACUAUUAUACAAGC